GACGAACGCUGGCGGCGUGCCUAAUACAUGCAAGUCGAACGCUUCAUCUUUCACCGAGUGCUUGCACUCACCGAAAGAAGAAGAGUGGCGGACGGGUGAGUAACACGUGGGUAACCUGCCCAUUAGAGGGGAUAACACUUGGAAACAGGUGCUAAUACCGCAUAAUUGUUUGAGUCGCAUGACUCGGACAUGAAAGACGCUUUCGGGGUGUCACUAAUGGAUGGACCCGCGCUGCAUUAGUUAGUUGGGUGAGGGUAAUGGGGCUCACCAAGACCAUGAUGCAUAGCCGACCUGAGAGGGGUGAUCGGGCCACACUGGGGACUGAGACACGGGGCCCCAGACCUCCUACGGGGGAGCAGCAGUAGGGAAUCUUCGCAAUGGACAAGUCUGGGCCGAGCAACGCCGCGUGAGUGAAGAGGUUUUCGGA
rnacentral:rRNA from 1 species